rnacentral:rRNA from 1 species
GACGAACGCUGGCGGCGUGCUUAACACAUGCAAGUCGAACGAAGAGCGAUGGAAGCUUGCUUCUAUCAAUCUUAGUGGCGAACGGGUGAGUAACGCGUAAUCAACCUGCCCUUCAGAGGGGGACAACAGUUGGAAACGACUGCUAAUACCGCAUACGAUCUAAUCUCGGCAUCGAGGAUAGAUGAAAGGUGGCCUCUACAUGUAAGCUAUCACUGAAGGAGGGGAUUGCGUCUGAUUAGCUAGUUGGAGGGGUAACGGCCCACCAAGGCGAUGAUCAGUAGCCGGUCUGAGAGGAUGAACGGCGACAUUGGGACUGAGACACGGCCCAGACUCCUACGGGAGGCAGCAGUGGGGAAUCUUCCGCAAUGGACGAAAGUCUGACGGAGCAACGCCGCGUGAGUGAUGACGGCCUUCGGGUUGUAAAGCUCUGUUAAUCGGGACGAAAGGCCUUCUUGCGAAUAGUGAGAAGGAUUGACGGUACCGGAAGAGAAAGCCACGGCUAACUACGUG